UUACGGCCACAUCACGUUGAAACACAGGUUUCCGUACUAUCACCGAAGUUAAGCAACAUCAAGUCUGGUCAGUACCUUGAUGGAUGACCGCUUGGGAAUACCAUGUGCAGUAA